AAAAUUUAUAACUAUGAUAAUUAUAAAACUUGAGUAUCGUGUAUUGGGGAAAAGGAAAUAAUCGCUACCAGAUGGAAAUACCUGAAUCGGCGCUGCGUUCUCAUACUCCUAACGACUAUCAUUUAAAAUCCCAAAGAAAAGGUUUCAAAAGAUACCAGUCUGCUCAAAUUGAAAAAUUGGUUGCAGAUUUAGACGCUUUUGAAGAAACACGAGAUGCUUCACUUAAAGAUACUAUGAGAAAUAUUUUUAAUCGCUUUGACAAA
rnacentral:lncRNA from 1 species